rnacentral:lncRNA from 1 species
AUCCUUACUGCUAAGGUUCCCUUUAGUCAUGUGUGAAUGCAGCUUAGCUCUUGGAUCCUGGAUUGUGAGCUAACUUAGUCUCUGAGCACAGUAACAGUGGUGGGCAGGACACAGAAGGCAGAGGGAUCCUCAGCUGCUGGUUACCUUUGGUGAGUUAUUAGCCUGUGGGCUUUUUGCAGCCCUCACCUUGGCAUUUGUUAGUCCUGGCACUCACUGCCUAAUGAUGUCGCAUGCUGUCCUUAGCUCCUCAGCUGCUCGCUGACUGACAGGCCAGCUUCUUUAACAUUUGCCUCGAUACAUUUUCUGGUAUUAAAUUAAGCUCCUUGAGCUGAUUAAAAGUCUUCCAAGAUUAUGUCGUUGCCAAGUCUCCUAUGCACACGCACAAAGACAAUCAUAAAUAAUAAAACCUGUUCUGGAUUUCUCCAAUAAGGGUGCUAGUAUCUAAAUCUGCCCUCUGGCCAAUUUUCUGUAUUACUGAGCAAAUUCAUGUUUCUGAUAGGUACGUAAGAGUGCCAGGUUAUUAUUCUUCAGCAAUUACUUUCUGCUUUCAAAAUCUUUUAAUCCAAAGAACAGUAUACUAAUGAAACUGGUAGAAAAAGGAAAUAUUUACAGGACAAAAAAUUCAACCUUCUUCCACUUCCAUGCAGCACUGGAGUUGUAAGAGAUUCCUUGCAGCUGCUUGCAAGCAAUUAAAGUUUUAGAUUUGCACCAUACUUUUGGAACCCAAUUUUAUAAGCAGUUGCUGACAGUCCAUUAAUUUGAAUCCAAAAUGCCCUCUGAGCUAGACUAGUGCAAAAGAAAGCAUUAGCUCCAAUCCAAAAUGGGCUUUAUCACAUAUUCCCGCUCUCCCUCUUGCAUAUCUGUUUGACUCAAGGCAAUAGUAGCAUAGUAGUUAAGUGCCAGUUAUAUUUUGGUAAUAUGCAUAAUAUUUUUAUGGGGAGAGGAAGACUGAAUGACCUUAAACCUUGUUAUAAUAUGAAAGUGUGUCUGCCUGACUGGGGUUGCUACAGGGCCACAUAGACCCUUUGCCAAGCCAUGGAGAAUUUAGAGGAAGCAAUCUGAGCAAGCAGAGACACACUAAGAAGUACACUUCUCAGUGCUGAAGGCUGAAUCCAAGCAGAAACAGCCAAGAAGCUGAAAUCCUCUGUAUAUGCCCAUGUUAACAACAUGUGAACUAAUGUGAAGAUCCUUUCACCAAAUUUGGUUUUCCGCUGGCACUUUUCAGGAGCUAAUUCACCAUUUCCUCAUUUUGGAUCUUUGUGUUAUGACUUCUAGUGAUGAAGGGUACAAGUGGUGGGGCUAGAUAAUAUCUUUGCCAGCACCAAUCAGUACUGUCUUUACCAGCACCAACCCAGUCCCUGGGAAGAUCUGAGAGUAUUUUAAGUGGCUGAAGCCUUACUGCAAUAGCUAUAGGCCCCUGAUUAGCUAGGCCAACACCAACUUAAAAUUCAGCAACAUGUGCUACUUCAAGGGGAAAACACAAGAGGCUGAAUGCUUCUCACCCUAAGCAAUAACAUGCAGCUCUUCCUAAGAGCCAGCAAUUAUCAGCUUGUAGGGGUGAGCUAGUCAGGAAAAUAAGAGGCCUCAUUCUCAUCUCAGAAUGGAAUAAUGAAGAAGGCAGCCCACCAAACUUGCUUCACCUAAGAUGUGCAAAUGCAAGGAAAAUGAAGUAUGAGACCCGUACAAUUUUAGGGUUUUAACUUUUCACUUAGUUUGAAGGAGAAAGACUGCUUGAAAAUCCAAUAGAUAUGCUAGAGGAAAGAGAAAAUUAUGUAAACAUUCCAACUAGUAAUUCAGAAGAAAAACGUAUUGCUCAGAAAAAUGAGAUGAUAUAAACCCCUGAAUUACAUUCAAGCAGGUAUUCAAGGACAGGUUUAUGUUAUUUUGCUCAGACCUUUUUCUUCUUUCUUU